GGUGUUUACUUGUGGCCUGCUGAUUUGUUUCUCGUGAGCCUUGUAGGAUUAAUUUUUGUUUCUGGAUAUGUCAGCACAUAGUCUCUAUAAGGUUGAGUAAGAGAGACUAAAAAAUAUUCCCUGAAGGAGGCAGCCUGCCCUGAGGCAGAGAAGGGUCUGGAACAUUGACCAGAGGUCAAGGUCUCCAGAAUUGAGGUGGCAGUCUCUGGGCUUCUCCUCUUGAGCCUUUUCCUCCAUUCUUCUGUGCUUGACCUCUACUAGCAGGUUCCUUUUUCCUGCUCAGUCUCAUCCCUUCAGGCCUUCUCUCCUUUCCUGGAUGUUGCUCUGCAUUGGCACUGCAUAGUCCUCACUCUCCUGAUCUUUGGCUUUGGUGUCUUCUCCCGUGUCUUUAUACCUGUUGGACCUGAGCUGGCCUCUCCAGUGGCCAGUGAGGGUGUUGGCUCCUGACCUGCAUUUUCAUGAUAUAGCUGUGACGGGCUGAGUGUGUGUGGGGGAUUUAUCAUGAUACACACACUGACACUUCCUGUUAGGUCUCAUUGCCUCCCCUCUUGCAGACAAAUGAUUCUUUAAGAAGGGACAUUCAGGUAGAGAUGUUACCUGUGAUUAAACCUGCUUCAGUAGGAACAGGGCUUUUGAUCUAUAUGCUGGUGCUGUCUUGUGGCUUUGUUUCUUAGCUCUGAGCCACAGCCCUUGUUGGUCUGAAGACUCAACUGAUGGUUUAGGACAGCACACAUGCAAGAGGCAUGUACACUGUACUGUGAUUUCCACAUUGCUCC
rnacentral:lncRNA from 1 species